rnacentral:rRNA from 1 species
UACGAAGGGUGCAAGCGUUGUUCGGAUUUACUGGGUGUAAAGGGAGCGUAGGCGGCGAUGCAAGUCAGAAGUGAAAGCCCGGGGCUCAACUCCGGGACUGCUUUUGAAACUGUGUUGCUAGAUUGCAGGAGAGGUAAGUGGAAUUCCUAGUGUAGCGGUGAAAUGCGUAGAUAUUAGGAGGAACACCAGUGGCGAAGGCGGCCUGCUGGGCUUUUACUGACGCUGAGGCUCGAAAGCGUGGGUAGCAAACAGG